GGUUCCAUGGUGUAAUGGUGAGCACUCUGGACUCUGAUCCAGUGAUCCGAGUUCAAAUCUCGGUGGAACCU
rnacentral:tRNA from 1 species